rnacentral:lncRNA from 1 species
UGCAUCCAUGGGUAGGUUCAUAACCAAUUAUUUUUUCAAACAACUUCUAGUAAUAAGUUUUGCCCCAGGCAUCCCUUCAGCAGGUGUGUGGUGCCUCUACUGAAAAUCUCGGUUAGAUCCAACCAUUAACAUGACACAUCAAGUGCAUCCAACAAAUGGAUAUCCAGAUUCAAGCGUGGCUCGACCAACCUUAGCAUUGAUCUGAAGGUACAUCAUGAUAGUCAUAUGA